AUCAACUUUCGAUGGUAGGAUAGAGGCCUACCAUAGUUUUAACGGGUAACGGGGAAUUAGGGUUCGAUUCCGGAGAGGGAGCCUGAGAAACGGCUACCACAUCCAAGGAAGGCAGCAGGCGCGCAAAUUACCCAAUCCCGACACGGGGAGGUAGUGACAAUAAAUAACAAUACGGGGCUCAUUUGGGUCUCGUAAUUGGAAUGAGUACAAUUUAAAUCCCUUAACGAGGAACAAUUGGAGGGCAAGUCUGGUGCCAGCAGCCGCGGUAAUUCCAGCUCCAAUAGCGUAUAUUAAAGUUGUUGCAGUUAAAAAGCUCGUAGUUGAAUUUCGGGAUUUGCACAUCGGUCGUGCCUUAAGGGGUAUGAACUGGUGUAGUGAAUUUCUCACCUUCUGGAGAACCGUGAUGUCCUUAAUUGGGUGCCACGAGGAACCAGGACCUUUACUUUGAAAAAAUUAGAGUGUUUAAAGCAGGCAUUUUUGCUUGAAUACAUUAGCAUGGAAUAAUAAAAUAGGACGGCAUGAUUCUAUUUUGUUGGUUUCUAGGAUCACCGUAAUGAUUAAUAGGGAUAGUUGGGGGCAUUAGUAUUCAAUUGUCAGAGGUGAAAUUCUUGGAUUUAUUGAAGACUAACUACUGCGAAAGCAUUUGCCAAGGAUGUUUUCAUUAAUCAAGAACGAAAGUUAGGGGAUCGAAGACGAUCAGAUACCGUCGUAGUCUUAACCAUAAACUAUGCCGACUAGGAAUCAGACGAUGUUAAUUUUUUAAUGACUCGUUUGGCACCUUACGGGAAACCAAAGUGUUUGGGUUC
rnacentral:rRNA from 1 species